rnacentral:rRNA from 1 species
GAUGAACGCUGGCGGCGUGCCUAAUACAUGCAAGUCGAGCGAACAGACGAGGAGCUUGCUCCUUUGACGUUAGCGGCGGACGGGUGAGUAACACGUGGGUAACCUACCUAUAAGACUGGGAUAACUUCGGGGAAACCGGAGCUAAUACCGGAUAAUAUUUCGAACCGCAUGGUUCGAUAGUGAACGAUGGCUUUGCUAUCACUUAUAGAUGUACCUGCGCCGUAUUAGCUAGUUGGUAAGGUAACGGCUUACCAAGGCAACGAUACGUAGCCGACCUGAGAGGGUGAUCGGCCACACUGGAACUGAGACACGGUCCAGACUCCUACGGGAGGCAGCAGUAGGGAAUCUUCCGCAAUGGGCGAAAGCCUGACGGAGCAACGCCGCGUGAGUGAUGAAGGUCUUCGGAUCGUAAAACUCUGUUAUUAGGGAAGAACAAACGUGUAAGUAACUGUGCACGUCUUGACGGUACCUAAUCAGAAAGCCACGGCUAACUACGUG